ACGCUCGACACCUACGGGGGCAGCAGUGGGGAAUAUUGCACAAUGGGGGAAACCCUGAUGCAGCGACGCCGCGUGAGCGAAGAAGUAUUUCGGUAUGUAAAACUCUAUCAGCAGGGAAGAAACUGACGGUACCUGACUAAGAAGCACCGGCUAAAUACGUACCAGCAGCCGCGGUAAUCUGAGCGGGCUGGCAAGGC
rnacentral:rRNA from 1 species